rnacentral:rRNA from 1 species
UACGUAGGGGGCAAGCGUUGUCCGGAUUUAUUGGGCGUAAAGAGCUCGUAGGUGGUUCGGUAAGUCGGAUGUGAAAUCUCCAGGCUCAACCUGGAGGGGUCAUUCGAUACUGCCGUGACUAGAGUUCGGUAGGGGAGUGCGGAAUUCCUGGUGUAGCGGUGAAAUGCGCAGAUAUCAGGAGGAACACCGGUGGCGAAGGCGGAUCUCUGGGCCUUACCUGACGCUGAGGCGCGAAAGCUAGGGGAGCGAACAGG